rnacentral:rRNA from 1 species
UACGUAGGGACCGAGCGUUGUCCGGAAUCAUUGGGCGUAAAGAGCGUGUAGGCGGCCAUUUAAGUCCUGCGUGAAAUCCUGCGGCUCAACCGCAGGCGGUCGUGGGAAACUGGAUGGCUAGAGUGCGGGAGAGGAGAGUGGAAUUCCUGGUGUAGCGGUGGAAUGCGCAGAUAUCAGGAAGAACACCCGUGGCGAAGGCGGCUCUCUGGAACGCAACUGACGCUGAGACGCGAAAGCGUGGGGAGCAAACAGG